GACGAACGCUGGCGGCGUGCUUAACACAUGCAAGUCGAACGGAAAGGCCCUGCUUUUGUGGGGUGCUCGAGUGGCGAACGGGUGAGUAACACGUGAGUAACCUGCCCUUGACUUUGGGAUAACUUCAGGAAACUGGGGCUAAUACCGGAUAGGAGCUCCUGCUGCAUGGUGGGGGUUGGAAAGUUUCGGCGGUUGGGGAUGGACUCGCGGCUUAUCAGCUUGUUGGUGGGGUAGUGGCUUACCAAGGCUUUGACGGGUAGCCGGCCUGAGAGGGUGACCGGCCACAUUGGGACUGAGAUACGGCCCAGACUCCGACGGGAGGCAGCAGUGGGGAAUAUUGCACAAUGGGCGGAAGCCUGAUGCAGCAACGCCGCGUGCGGGAUGACGGCCUUCGGGUUGUAAACCGCUUUCGCCUGUGACGAAGCGUGAGUGACGGUAAUGGGUAAAGAAGCACCGGCUAACUACGU
rnacentral:rRNA from 1 species